rnacentral:rRNA from 1 species
UACGGAGGAUCCGAGCGUUAUCCGGAUUUAUUGGGUUUAAAGGGAGCGUAGGCGGCCCUCUAAGUCAGGGGUGAAAGACAGCGGCUCAACCGUUGCAGUGCCCUUGAUACUGGGGGGCUUGAAUGCACCUGAGGUAGGCGGAAUGUGGCAAGUAGCGGUGAAAUGCAUAGAUAUGCCACAGAACACCGAUUGCGGAGGCAGCUUACCAAAGUGCGAUUGACGCUGAGGCUCGAAAGCGUGGGGAUCAAACAGG